GCAGGGCGCGCGUGUGUCUAACACGCAGCGGGGGAGCGCUGCCUGGGCGCAGCCCGAAGCGGUGCGCGCUGCCCCGAGCCUUUCGGCGGCACCCAGCGCCCUGCCCUCCCGCUGCGGGCUCGCCCGGCACAGCGCCCCGUCCUGCCCCGCUCCCCUCAGAUCCGGCGCUUCCUCUUCUCGGCUACCGUGCAAUUCAAACAAUCCUACGUUCUCAUUUCCCAGGGCGGUUUGCCGCGAAGUACGUGGGUAGGAGAGGGGGCUGCUGCGCUCUUUAUUUAUUAUUUAUUUACUGUCGUUCUUUGGAGCGAUGUUCCCCGGGAGCACGCUGUCUCGCUGCUCUCCCGUCCCCCUUCGGCAGGCUUUGCAUUGCCGUUAGCAGCGGGGCGGGGGUGCCCGCCGUGCCGGCAAUCCACCGCUUCGUAGCAUCACCCAGCGAGACCGAACCGCUCCGAAACUCGGCCGCGGGCGCAGGGCAGGCAACGCUCCCUCGGAGGCCACGAGCCUCACAGGGGCACGGCGGCAGACGGAAGGAGGGAGCGGCCCCCCCGCGCCUCCUCACACAGCGCCCCGCGCCCGCUGCCCGCCCCGCCCGAGGAGCGGCGCGUUGACAGCGCCGGGGCACGGGCCGGCGACACUCCAAACCCGAGAGGAAAACCCGGCAUCGCACCCCGAGCGACAGGGCGAACACCGCCCCUCGCGGCCCGCUCCCGCACGGCGCCCCGGGGGUGUGAGGGGCGGAGGCGCGUUUCCCUCAGCGAGGCGGGGCCAGGAGCAACAGGCCGCGCUCAGCCCACCCGCCCCCCUUCGCCACGCGCGGCGCCUCAUGGGAACGCGAGUUCCGGCGCGGCCGCCGCUGGCCGAGCAGGCGGGAAGCGGCGGGAGAGGGCGACUACAGCUCCCGGGGUGCUUCGCGGCGCCGCGCCGGGCGGUUGCUGUGGUGACAGUCCUGCGGCGCGGGCGGAGGUGUAAUGGCCGCGCGCGAGCGGGGCAGGUGCGCGCGGCCGUGCACGGGGCGCUGCGUGCUUCCCGCCCUUUUGGCGGCGGCUCCCGGUGCCCCUCAGGCGAGCUCGGCCUCGAAGGCUCGGCCCUGCGUGGGGAGCGGCGGUGAAACCCGGCGUCCCGCUGGUUCCCCCCUACAGCAGGGUUUCCAAGAAGGCAAUAGAAAGGAUAUCCAACCUCAACAAGUGCUUUUGUUGCCAAUGCCUACUGCAGAGGAGAGUGAGGAAGCUGCCAAGAACAGUUUCAGAAUGGAUGAAGGCCCUUAACCAGUGGUACCCCAAGAGUCAGGUCUAAAGACUGUGGUCAUGAGCAGGCAUGCACAGACCAACUAUCCCCAUUUUUGCCUUCAAAUGUUUUCCAAGUUUUAACUGUUCAUGAGAGGCUGUUCUUGCCUUGUUCAGGUGUGACGACCGAGAAGCACAGGCUCUCCCCCUUGGGCUGCUCUGUUCUCUGGGCGCACACUGCAUAUGCUGCAUUAUGACACACUGCAGAUGUGGUCACGUGGGCUUCGUGAAGCUGCUCUGCUGCCUUGGCUACACAGAGUGACUCAGAUAUCAGCCCAAUAGUUACUAAGGUACUUGCAGCCACACCACAGUUCCUGCCUGGCAACAGCUCAGCUCACAGAUAUCUACAUGGGAGGAGCAGGGGAGAAGAAAUUGUCAUCAAGCUACUGAAAAUAACAAUGUAUGUGAAUUCUACUGUUUCAACUGUUAAGUGCUAACAAACAGACUUCAGUGCUGUCAGGGCUCCUCGGGACAUCUGAGAUUAAAGAAAUCAAAGGAGGAAUUUGCUGGCCAGGUCGCUAAUGAGUUUGCAAACCCAAGCUGCUUAGGAGGAAGUGAAAUGAAUAGCCAAAUGAAAUGCACCACAGGCAACACAUUGUGGCAAUUUGGGAACUAGGAUAACCUUAAUACAACUGCCAAGUGCUAAACAUCUUCAAUCCACCAACAGGAGCCAGACAUGCAUCAUUACAAUCAGAAAGGCUUUACUGCUAUUCCUAACAUGGAUGUGUUCUCCUUCUGCCCAACUACAAAAUCAGCUUAGUUUGCGAAUAAACUUGUUUUGGUUGACUGCGUAUAGAACAGAGAGAUCUAUUGGGCAUGGGAAUCUGGGUGUCUACCCGUGGGGAAUUUGUUAUUAAACAAAUAUCUAUGAGAUCAGAGGAGUCAAACACCAGUCUUGCUGAAAAACAAGUGGACUGCAAGUGGGUAGCUGCAGGUACAAUUCAAGUUCCGAUGCUGUACUCUUCUGGAUUAGGAAUACAGUACUUCUUACCUGAAUUAUAUUCUGCUUGACCUCAGAAUUCAUAGGCGUGAUAUCAGCCCACAGGAAAGCAAGCUGAACUUCAUCUGGCUGAGAGCUGCAGCUCCUCUUGUUGUCAGGAUGCCCUCUGUUGCUCAGACUACAGGUAGAGCUGCAGUGUCAGAAGAGCCGAAUUCUGCUUUCUUCAGUAGUUUUGCAACAUUAAGUACAUCAUUUAGCAGAGCCUGAUUUUCUGAGGUGCUCUCUGUUUAUUAUGCACCUCUGUUUAUGUAUUUGGAAUGAAAGUGUCUAGUGUUUGUUUCAACUAAUUGUAAGUUUCUGUUCUAACUCAGCUGUGCUUAGUCAAGGUAGAAAAAACCCAAACAUCCACAAAUAAAAGGCAACACUGUAUCAUACCUGCACGCUAUUUAUUAUAACAGGAUAUUCAUAAGGACCCUACACGUUUUAAGUCUAUUCUCUGCAAACUCACUCAUAAAAAAGAGAACACAUCGAAGUGAAAAACAGCCUAAAACAGCAUUUCACAGGAACAGAAUUUAGUCAUACAUUUCAUUUACUUCACUGUUAAUCUUCCUCAUACAGUGUGGAUCCCUACAACAGAACAUAUUCUCUAUGAAGAACAGAUGGGUUAAUAGAUCAUUUGCAUCAAUCUAAAAGAAAACCCUCCUACUCAACAUAUGCUUAGUUCCCACGGAUAAAAAGUUUGGGGAUUUUCAUCCUCAUUGCACUUCAUUCAUGAGAACAUGGGAAGGACUCUUCAGGUGCAGCUCUCUGAGUACCUAUGCAGCUUUGAUUUCAAUAUAAGGUGCUCACCAAGACAACAGGAGGGCAGGCAUUCCUUACUAGGGAAUUAUUUCUUUGUAACAGUGAGAGCAACAUAGGCUGAAAAGCGGUUGGCUUCAAUUCGUUUUCUUUGGAAAACUCUAAAAUUCACCUUUUAUAUUACUUUUACAAUACAUCUCCAGAGGAAACACAAGCAACUUAAAAAUUGUUACCUUGCCAAACCUACUAAGAAAGGAAACUACUAUAGUGUUAAGCUGUACUACAAAUCCUCUUUCUUCAAUGCGUUAAUCAGAAGAAUUAUAAUGUUUCAUCCACCAAGGGGUCUAACUACAUAUAGAAGUGGCUAUAUUACUUCCUGAAUUGUACCACUACAGUGGCCAAAACCAGAAGUAGUGAAAACUUGCCCCAGUUUCAGUCUCAUUUCCAUCAUCCAUACUUACAGUCCUUUCUUCUUCCUCUGAUAUUAUUCAGCAGGCUCUUCACAUAAUUAAAAUGAGACUUCCCCAUCCUUCCUCCAUUCAAAAAGGCAACCAUUCUGAAACUAGUGUAACCACAACACAAGAGGGCUGCUCCGGGCUUCUGCAAUGGCUCUAGCCCCUGUUAAGUGCCCCGUCCCCUUCACUGAAACAGCUCUGCUGAAGGUGCUCGAGAUCUAACCAGGAGGGAACCACGCUAAGCCAAGCCUUGCCUUUUCUGACCUGGCCUCGUCAGAGGAUGCUCUUCCUGUCCCACCAGUUCUCUCUGCAUGGAAAUUGCACCCAAAAGGGAAAGCAGGUGAGACUUAGAAGAAUUCACUCAAGCUCCUCAGCAACUUGAAAUCGGUUCCUAAGCAGAAAGGACUUCUACUCAAAUACUGUUCAAGAACAACUUAAAGAGGCAAGACAAAGAAGAAAAACAGAAUUCUGAAGGUGUGAUCAAAAACGUCACUGCCCUGUUACACACAACAGGUAGUUAAGACUGAUCUGCUAAAUAUUACUUGCCUAUUUUAUUAGCUUCACUGAAGUGACACACAGUAAGGCAUCAACAAAGUUUUGUAUUUUGAUCAACAAAGACAACUUUCAUAUUCUAACAUUACACCUCAGCUUUUUGUAUUAUAUGAAAUUUUUACAUUUACAAGACUGGUGGUAAUCCUACAUUUCACUAGUAGACUGGAACAAUGAAAUAUUAAAGGAGUAAAAACUAACGUGCAUGAAUAUUUAGUCGCUUAAUAACCCAAGACUUUAGAAAACAAAGAAAACCCAGAGCACACAGUACAUUCCAUGGACAGAAUUAAGAUGCUGCACUGAUCACAUGUUCACGGAACUGGUUUAGAAACAUGCUAGUUUGCACUGUAUUUGCUUUCCAUCUGAAGUUAUAUUUGAGUGUAUUUUAAUAAUCAUGAAAAUUUAAAUUAAAAAAGUUUUCUGUA